rnacentral:rRNA from 1 species
UACAGAGGGGGCAAGCGUUGUCCGGAAUCAUUGGGCGUAAAGCGCGUGUAGGCGGCUCGGUAAGUCUGCUGUGAAAGUCCAGGGCUCAACCCUGGAAUGCCGGUGGAAACUGUCGAGCUUGAGUCCGGAAGAGGCGAGUGGAAUUCCUGGUGUAGCGGUGAAAUGCGUAGAGAUCGGGAAGAACAUCGGUGGCGAAAGCGCUCUACUGGACCGCAACUGACACUCAGGGACGAAAGCUAGGGGAGCGAAUGGG